UACAGAGGGUGCGAGCGUUAAUCGGAAUUACUGGGCGUAAAGGGCGCGUAGGCGGCCCGAUAAGUCGGAUGUGAAAGCCCUGGGCUCAACCUGGGAACUGCAUACGAUACUGUCAGGCUAGAGUAUGGUAGAGGUAAGCGGAAUUCCGGGUGUAGCGGUGAAAUGCGUAGAUAUCCGGAGGAACAUCAGUGGCGAAGGCGGCUUACUGGACCAAUACUGACGCUGAGGCGCGAAAGCGUGGGGAGCAAACAGGAUUAGAUACCCUGGUAGUCCACGCCCUAAACGAUGAGAACUAGCCGUUGGGAGCAUUUAAGCUUUUAGUGGCGUAGCUAACGCGUUAAGUUCUCCGCCUGG
rnacentral:rRNA from 1 species